rnacentral:lncRNA from 1 species
UUCACCAUAAAUUUAACACAGUGAAUGCUUUUUCAAAUUAAUAAAUAUGUGUGCACAUGACAUUUGUCAAUCUGUUCACAAGUAAUUUUUUGUUUAAAUUUGUAUGAAUAUUUUUAAAAGACAAAAUUUCAAACAAUAUAUAAAAGUAUAUUCCUAAAUAGAAAUUAAUCUGCAUCCUUCACUUGCUCUUCCCCUACCCCUUAACACAAAAAGGUUUGCUGUCAAUAGAACAAAGCUUUUAUCCCAGACAUGUUUCACAUCAUGCCUCUGAGCAGACCCAAAUUCUGUUCUCCAGGUUGGGAAGAAUGUAAUUGACCUCAGCUGGUGAGCUCAGUGAUAGGUCACAUGAAGGAAGCAAGGAGUGGUGUUUGCCUAAUGGCUGCUCCUGGACUGCUCAGUAUAUUAAUACAUUUACAGAAAAAUUGUGAACGUGUACAGGAGUAACCAGUACAGGGUCCUCAGAUCAUGCAUUAUUCAGCCAUAUCACACCAGGAUUUCAGCCACCUGCUG